rnacentral:rRNA from 1 species
UGGGGAAUUGUUCACAAUGGGCGCAAGCCUGAUGACGCAACGCCGCGUGGGGGAUGAAGGUCUUCGGAUCGUAAACCCCUGUCGAAUGGGACGAAAGACUCGCGAGUGAAUACUUCGCGAGAGUGACGGUACCGUUAAAGGAAGCCACGGCUAACUCUGUGCCAGCAGCCGCGGUAAUACAGAGGUGGCAAGCGUUGUUCGGAAUCAUUGGGCGUAAAGCGUAUGUAGGCGGCUUAAACAGUCAGGUGUGAAAGCCCUGGGCUCAACCUAGGAAGUGCACUUGAUACUAUUAAGCUAGAGUAUUGGAGAGGGCAGUGGAAUUCCUGGUGUAGUGGUGAAAUACGUAGAUAUCAGGAGGAACACCGGUGGCGAAGGCGGCUGCCUGGCCAAAUACUGACGCUGAGAUACGAAAGCGUGGGUAGCAAACAGGAUUAGAUACCCCAGUAGUCCCUGAGCGGGCUGGCAAGGCGCAU